rnacentral:rRNA from 1 species
UACGUAGGGCGCAAGCGUUGUCCGGAAUUAUUGGGCGUAAAGAGCUCGUAGGCGGUUUGUCGCGUCUGCCGUGAAAGUCCGGGGCUCAACUCCGGAUCUGCGGUGGGUACGGGCAGACUAGAGUGAUGUAGGGGAGACUGGAAUACCUGGUGUAGCGGUGAAAUGCGCAGAUAUCAGGAGGAACACCGAUGGCGAAGGCAGGUCUCUGGGCAUUAACUGACGCUGGAGGAGCGAAAGCUGGGGAGCGAACAGG